UUCUGGCUUCAGCAGUACAUAUGCCAAAAAUUGGAACACUACAGAGAUUAGCAUGGCCUCUGAGCAAGGAAGACUGGCAAAUUCACAAAGCGUUUCAUAUGUGU
ensembl:snRNA U6 U6 spliceosomal RNA